UUAGGGAUCGUCGUCAUUUUGGGAGCGCCGGCAACACUAUGGGAGUGAUGGGUAGUCCUCUUCGGCCUGGAUGGAACGGUGGUGGCUUCUCCAACAUCCCUAACCCUACAGGAAGUUCAGCAAAUUUCUCAUCGCAAGGAUGCGCUGAUUCCGCGUUGCAGAUUUUGCCGAUCAUUGCUAGUUUCUGCAUGCCUUGGUUUGGAAGAAGGGCUCUUUUACCUCCGAGGGAGAAGGCGAUCUAAAAUAGAAGAUUAGUUUAUGUCUCUACUCUGUACAGGGUGAAGGACAUCAAAUACAAUUGCGUCCACCUUUGGCAAAAUAUGCACAACUUCAUGGCUUAACUUCAUGUUCUAGCAUCUCUUUUGCCAACAUUCUUCUCGUUUGCCGAUAUGUUGGUUCUUUACUUAAAUGCAAGAAUACAUGGUUAUCUGCUGAGCAGGUAGUUUCUUUCAGGUGCAUCUAUAUAACUAAUGUGCCAAGCAUUAGUUUCUCUGCAGUUAGAGAAUAUGAGAUUCAUGAAUAGAAAUUCUUUUUAAGUUCUCUGAUAGAUCUGGCUGUGUUCUUUGCUAAGAAAUAAUAGCUUGGCAGUAAUAGAACAAGAUUUAUAGAUGGGAAAGGAUUUUAACCUUCUAUUUUAGGGAGGAAGAAUGAUUAUUCUCGACAUGGAUUUAUAAAGUUGAGAACAGCUAGCUAUUCAAUCUAGUUCACUUUACCCCUUAAAAACAAUAUUUACAUGAUAGUACUUAGAAUGCUGACUGAUGAUCGACAUAUGGCAAGACUAUAAGAACAUGGAACUCAAUUAUGAACCAUAGGUGAGCAUUUUUUCCCCUCAAAUAUUCCCUCAAAAGAAGUUAUCCGGUAUGGUUGCAAAAGAAUAUUACAAAGCUUCAAAAUUUUUUCUCCAUGUUGGAAAGUAAUCUCCAUAUUGUUCAAACUAAGCAUGAAAACAAUGAGAAAGUUGCAAGUUCAUAUCGUCCAUGAUCAAGAGACUUUGAGCUUUUCCUAGAAGAUCCGUCUGGAGAUGCUGGAAGGUCUUUGGAACCUAUCUGCUGUGGCAAUUUCUUUGAAUCAGUCGGUAUCGCUAAAAUGUAUUACAGGCAUUAGUUGACAUAAGAUUGUCCAACUCUGUCAUGAAGUUCAGAAACGUUUACACCGUCAGUUGCCAUUGAGAUGAUCUAUUCUCCACCUACCUCAUAUCCCCACAAGCAAGAUUUGUACAUGAGACUUAUGAAUAGGUUCACUAGAUAGCUUCUCAGUGCUUUCUCUCUCCCUUUUGCCAUGAUUAUCUUCUGCUCUUCUCGAUACCCCUCAAAGAAAAGAAAAAGAAAGCUUCUGCUCAUCGUGUAUGAUUUCUCCACCAUACCAAGUAUUGGGUACAUUGACAAGUUCAAACAACACUGGUCCUCUCACUUCUCUUUUCCAUUCUCAGAUUAAUAGAACACAUCUCUUCUUUUCUUUGGAUUUGUCUCAGGGUUCCCUUUUCUCAUCAUAGCUGCAAACUCAUCAUAAUUUAUUCUUCCAUCCUGCAUGUUGACAGUGAUUUAGAUCAGAAUUGUGUUUUCCCAGACUGCUACUAAUAUACUAGAUGGCUAGACAGGUUCUAGUAAUAUUCUGCAUGGCCUCUUUCUACUUACAUUGUCAACAUCAGCUUCAGCAAUUAUAUCCUUGAUUUCCUUGCCGUCGUAUAGUCCUUUCUCUUUUAGAGCUUGCUCAAGUUCUUCCUUUGUGAUAUAACUAUAGAAAGAAAAAGGUGUUAGUAUUCAGUUAGGUCACCAAUGUGUCUAAUAUAUUAUCCAAUGCAUCAUUAAAACUAUUUCAUUGUAUAUUGUUUUAUAUAAAAUCAAUGUGUUAUGCUGUUGUUUUGCACAAAACCUACCCGCUGUUGUCCUUAUCAAAGUACUGAAAUGCUGUAUAUAGAUGCUCUUCUCUAUCCAUUCUGUUCAUGUGCAUUGUCGCUGUAAUAAAUUCCUCAUAGUCGAUAGUUCCGUUCCCAUCUGCAUCAGCCUGUGUUAAGUGUAUUAGAUUAGAUGGUACAAUGAUUAGAUUCUUUCUAUCUGGGUCGAUUGAUUGAAUUUGUCAGUAAAAUUUUGGGUGCAUAUAGAACUCACAGCUUCCAUCAGCUGUUUGACUUCAUACUCCGACAGCUUUGUUCCUUGCUUGGAAAGACCUUGUUUUAGUUCUUCGAGAGUUAUAGUUCCACUAUUGUCAGAGUCCAUAUUCUUAAACAUUUCCUUCAGCCCUUUGAUCUCUUCCUCUGAUAAACAUCCUGCUAUUACCUGCACAUAUUGACAGCAAACUCAUUGAUAGUAUCAACUACAGGCCUUGCCAGUUUGAGUGCCUUAUUUUCUUUCCUCUCUCUAAGAAGUCUGAAGAGCUUUCAGGUCAUGAGGAUCAACGGUGAGAAGUAUAUUGUAGGAUAUCCAGGUAGACAUUCUUUCAUGUUGUUAGACACAAAUUUAGGUCACCAAGCUUUCCAUUAGUGAUCCUUGAAUUAUGUCACCAAAUAAUUCUAGUCAAACAUAUAGCGAAUUUUGCAGACAUUGGGUUAAUACAAUCUGUGAACGGGGAAACAAGAAAUUUACCCUUAGGGCAGCUUUCUUAAACUGGUUCAUUGCUCUAAAUUGUUUCAGCCUGUUGAGGACAGCAUUGUCAAGUGGUGUGUCAGGUGCUUCUCCAUCUUCCUUGAUCCAUGGAUGGUCUGUAUUGUAAGUCCAUAAUCAGACAAGACAGUUUGCAUGAGAUUUCCUAUGUGGUUUGCAUAGUAAAGAUAUUCUUGGUUCAAAACACAUGGAAAGAGCUUGUAUUUAGGGUGGAAGAUUCUCAAAAUAGACUAUAUGUGGGUUUUUUUUGUCUUAAUAUGUAAGCAUUCCUUGAUCUUGUCUGGAUGUAAAAACCAAGGAAGAUGUUGACUGCCAAACCAGGCCUCAACCUGGUGGUGGCAAGAUGUUUGACUAAAUUACAGGCAAAAUUUUAUUUUAUCUCUUCUUUCUCUAAUUGUAAUUUAUGACUCCAAGAUUUUUAGACAACUAACUUAGUUUGCUAGUAAUGCUAGUGAAUCACAAAAUAGAUAUCAUUGAGUUGCAUGAAAAUUGGUCAUACUGAGAACUUCAAAUGCUGUCAGCCUCUGUCUGGGGUCCAAGUUCAGCAUCUUUCUCACAAGAUCCUUAGCACCAGCACAAACAAGAAUUAUUUGAAUAGAUGAAGAAGCACCAGCCCAGAAUGGAGGAACUCCACAGAGAAAAAUGUAAAGCAUCACUCCUAUGCUCCAAAUAUCAGCUUCUGGCCCAUAUCUUCGCUUGAGGACCUCAGAAGCAAACACAGUUUCGUCGAACAUGUGGUGGACAAAAAGGCGGAAGAGGAGGGGAAGAAGAAGGAAGAAGAAAAGAGAACUGAAUCGAAUCAAUGGAGGGGCACAGAGGAACUAAACCUUGCUUGAAGAAAACAGAGAGCCCAAAGUCGGUGGCCUUGAGCGGCGCAUCCUCAUCCUUGUUCAGCAAGAGGAAGUUCUCGGGCUUGAGGUCCCUAUGCAUCACCCCCAUGGAAUGGCAGGUGUGGACGAUCUGCACGAUCGUCCUCAGCAGCGACGCGGCCGCCCGCUCCGUGUAGUGGCCCCUGGCGAUGAUGCGAUCGAACAGCUCCCCUCCCGCGCACAGCUCCAUGACGAGGUGCACCGACUGCUUGUCCUCGAAAGCCCCCUUCAGCUCCACGAUGUUGGGCUGCCCCGACAGGCGUACUUGUCCCCGGUGGCCUUGUGGGUGCAAAGAUGGGUGACGCCGAACUGGCCGCGCCCCAGCUCCUUCCCGAGGGAGUAAGUGGUGCGGACGUCCUCCAUGGGCCGGCCGAGCACGGGGCCGAUGGGAGCGGCCGGCUUAGGGGGCGGGCUGAAGGCGGCGGUGGGUACGGGUGCCGUUUGGACGGGGGCGUCAUCCGGGGCCGGGCUCGGGUCCGGCGCGUGGGCGGGGGUGUCGGCAUCGGUAGGCGUGGCGGGGUCGGCGGGCUUCUUGGUGAAGCAGUUCCCCAUCGAGGAUGAGGAGGAGGGGGCGGUGGAGGAGGGAGGAGGAGAUGGGGAGAUGGCCUACGAGGGACGGAGAGGAGGAGGUCGCAUGUGUGCGGUGGGGAAAGGGAGGAGGAGAGGGCGGGGCGGUGAGAGGCUGUGGAUGCGGACGGUGAGAGGGGAUUCAGGAGGGGCGGAUAUGAGUUGGACAGGGGAGGGGACGUUGGGCGCGGAGUAGAGGUGAAGAGAGAUUGGCGGGAGCCCAACUGCUCCCUCUCGCCUACAUUAGGAUCGACAGUCGAUUGGUUGGGCCGUGGGCCUCCCUUGAUGGGCCUCGCGUUCCACGCGAUCUCACUCGUUUUGAGCCGUAGCAGUCGUGCCCCAAGUCCUAACCCUGCAUCCAAUCAUUGGUCGACACGACCUGUUCUCCCAUUAGCUGGCCCAAAAAGAUAGAUUAGUCGACUCACAACAACAGCAGCAGCCUUCGAAGACCCCCUCUUCGACGUGGCUGUCUUCUCGACAGCUCGACAUGUUUCCUGGAGACUGUUCAUCCGUCUGUGAUCAGGAUUUGACCAACGGUAUCAGGUUUUGACCAAAUAUAUACAGCUUCGGUUUGCGUCUGUGAUCAAUUGUUGCUGAAGUCAAAGAAAAUGUUAUAUUGGACGCAA